rnacentral:rRNA from 1 species
GACGAACGCUGGCGGCGUGCUUAACACAUGCAAGUCGAACGGAAAGGCCCUGCUUUUGUGGGGUGCUCGAGUGGCGAACGGGUGAGUGACACGUGAGUAACCUGCCCUUGACUUUGGGAUAACUUCAGGAAACUGGGGCUAAUACCGGAUAGGAGCUCCUGCUGCAUGGUGGGGGUUGGAAAGUUUCGGCGGUUGGGGAUGGACUCGCGGCUUAUCAGCUUGUUGGUGGGGUAGUGGCUUACCAAGGGUUUGACGGGUAGCCGGCCUGAGAGGGUGACCGGCCACAUUGGGACUGAGAUACGGCCCAGACUCCUACGGGAGGCAGCAGUGGGGAAUAUUGCACAAUGGGCGGAAGCCUGAUGCAGCAACGCCGCGUGCGGGAUGACGGCCUUCGGGUUGUAAACCGCUUUCGCCUGUGACGAAGCGUGAGUGACGGUAAUGGGUAAAGAAGCACCGGCUAACUACGUG